AUCCUGCAGAACCAUGGUCAACCUUAUGGAUGUAUCCUCUUCCCUAAGCAGAAGAUCUUGAAGGCCCUCGUGUGUAAAAAGGAUAUGAGGCUGUGUGAGUAUUACCUCAAUUUUCCUUUGUCUUCCUCCUGUCAUGGUGAAAACAUGGCUUGUCACGUACUGUACUGUACUGUGAGAAGUGCGUACUGUCAAUGGAUGAUGUAAGACGACGUGUGAUGUUUUUUGAAUGAGUCGAGCUAACUCGGAGGCAAACGCCGCACAUACUGGAUGUCGCUUUUCGUAUUUUUCUAGUGGCGUAGAGGCAUAUAGACAAAUUUGUCUUUCUCCUGAUUCCCCCUUCUGAUAAAGAGCAGCAGAUACACUGCUGGUCUUUUCAGAAACAUCCAGGAAAAACAUUGUUGUAGUCAGGAAUAGCCAAUGCGGCAGCUGAGGACAAGUGCUGUUUGAGGUUUACAAAAGAGUUUUCCGCUUCAGUGGUCCAAGUGAGGAUAUGUGACAAAUUUCUCAUUCCUUCAAUGUUAACCAUUUGGCGAAGAGGAUGUGUAAGUUCUGCAAAGUCCGGGACAUGAUGGCGUGAGUAGUUGCACAGUCCUAAGAAGGCGAGCAUUUGUUUGACAUUGAUAGGUUUCGGAUGGUGUAAGAUGUCAUCUUUGUGUGAGGGAGACAUCCCUGUGCCUUUGCAUGAAAUAAGGCGUCCCAAAAGGGAAACUUGUGGCCUUGCAAUUUGUAGUUUGCUUUUGGAGCACUUAGGUCCUACUGACGUUAGAUGAGACCAGAGUUGCUGGGUGACUUGAAGACAUGAGGACUCGGACCAACAGUAUGUCAUCUACAUAUUGUAUUAAGAGCACGCCUUCCGGAAGUUGAAGUGGUGAUAAAAGUUGUCUGAGAUGAUCAUUGAACAGUCCUGGUGACAGAACAAAGCCUUGUGGAAGUCUGUUGUAAGAAUAGUAAUCAUUAUUCCAAGUAAAUGCAAAUUAUUGCUUCAGAGAUGGGUCAAGAGGAAUACAGAAAAAUGCAUUACCCAGAUCAAUGCAAGUAAAAUGGGUGUGAGACGGAGAGAGCGGAGACAGGGCUGAGUGCGGAUUGGGUACUGGAAGUGUUGGUGUCAAGACCGCUGCAUUUAUUCCCCUCAAGUCAUGUACCAUAUGGAAUUUUCCAGUAUUUUUCUUUUCAACUGGUAGAAUUGGUGUAUCAUACUCUUGAUUCAUGUAUUUUGCACAAUACUCCUGCUUUUAGCAAGCCUUCAAUGGUUUCUGUAAUGCCAAUCCGACCUGCUUCCUUCAUUGGAUACUGUGGUAUCCAAAUAGGAUCAGGCUUCAUUUUGAAUUUCACCGGCUGUACUUGACACAAUCCCACGUCCGUUGGGUCUGUAGACCACAGAUGUAGAGGCAAAGAUUGUACCAUAGGAUUGGCGAAUUCACUGUCAGUUGUUUCUCGUCCAUGAUGUCUGUCCAACAAGCAGUGCUCCAGGGUUGAUGUUGGUGUAUACGGUGCUGACUGUAUCCAGUAUGCAUCGAGAGACCGAGAAUAUAGCAAUGUGUCGUGAAAAGUUGGCUGCCAAUCAAUAGCCUGUGUGCAGCUUAGGACGAACGGACCCAAAUCCUUUGCAGUAUGCUGUGGUGAUACAAUCAGGGACACAUGAGGAUGACAUGGUGGCACAGUGAGAUCUGAUGGAUGAGUCAUCAUAUACCAUUUUUGUUGUUCAGGUGUUAGUGAAAUUGAAAAGGCCACACCUGGUUUUCCCAUGAACAGGUCACCCAUUUGUAGUUCCCAGAUGUUGCCUUCUACAUUUUGGAAAGCCUCGAUGUACACCUCAUCUCCUGUCCUGUCAUAGUACAGAGUGCAAUGCAUACAAUCAAAAACCAUAUCAUAGGGUCUGAGGUGACGAACCCACGGUGACCAUUGAGUCCAAAAGGUCUCUGCUUCCGUCCAUCUGGGUGAGUCAGUGUCCAUUUUCGCCCAGUAGAUUUGGCGGUGGCACACGUCAUGCUUGGUAGUUUGUCGCUCUGAAUCCUGCAUGUAGAUGUUUGAUGUGUCGUCACCGGAACAACAGUAGGUGUGUCCAUCAGGAAACUGUAACAUCAGGAAAUAUCAGUCCAUCCGGGCUGCACAGUAUUGUUGGAGCUGUUUUGAUGAGAAGAUCCCUUCCCAACAGGUUGACAGGGCAAUUGGGCGCAUACACAAACGAGUGUAAAAGAGUUUGUGUAAAACACUGAGUAUGUACGGGUGUAGUCAUUUGCAGGAUGGUUUCUUCACCCCGGAAUCCAACAAGGGAAAUGCCUUUUGCAGUAAGGGAACUUUCAGGUGGUAAUGUCAUAACGGUUGAAUGACUGGCUCCCGUAUCGACCAUGAAAGGUAAAAUAGUUCCUCCUACCGUCAGUCUGAUCAUUGGUUCCUGCAGACCGUGGCAUGUAGAUUCGGGGCCCCAUCAUUGCUGAUGCUGUUGGUUCGGCACUUGAGGGUAAGACUGCUGCUGCUGCUGCGGCGGAUAUUGUUGAGUCAUAUCCUGCUGCUGUUGCUGUCCGUAUCCUCUUCCUCUUUGCUGGCCAUAACCACGCCUGUUGAAUCCUCUAGGUGGGCCACUUCCUCCUCUGCCCCUGCCCUCCAGGGGACGCGCUCGGCUGUCUCUUGCCCAGUGUCCGUUACGACCACAGUUGAAGCAUUGAUUUCUGCCAGCAAACGGAGCACCUCGACCCAUGAAUGUUUGAUACAUGAAUGUUUGAUACAUCAUGCACUCAGAAACAUUAGGUAGCGAGGUCCCAACGGAAGCCACAGCUUGUUUUUAGACAGUUUGAUCUUGACAAGUCAGGUGCCAUGAGUUCCUAUGAGAUGCGUCUUGCUGUGGAGGCAGCAGGUUUUAAACUAAACGAGAUUCUGGUGGCCCGGUAUGCAGAGAAUGAGAUGAUUGAUUUUGAUAACUUUAUCUGUUGCUUGGUUAAGCUUGAGGCCAUAUUCAGGUCUUUCCUGCAGUUUGACAAAGAGGCAUCAGGAGUGGCUGAAUUGACUCUCAUAGAAUGGCUGUACCUGACCAUGUGUGGUUGAAGAGGACUACCGAUUGAGGGACAGCAGCAGCCUGCCGUGAUUGGUUUUAACACUCAGCCUUGAUAAUCCAGUCACAUUUCCCACUGUAGCGUACCCAAAGUAGCAAAGAAACUCCAUUAAACAUACACUUACAUCCAAAAAUCCAUCCAGGCCGAGGGUCUCGCACUAGAAACUUGUAAAACUAUGCAAACCUAAAGUAUGUAGCUAUCACUCCUGCAUGAGUAUAUGCGUAACCACAGAAUGACAAGUUAUUUGCAUGGUGAUAUUCCUAUAUAUUAGGUUGGCUCCUACUUCACAGUAAAAACAUUUAAGGUAGUGCUUUAAAAAUUAUGUUUUUGAUAAUCAGUCUCAAUUGACAACAGUUUUUCCUACUUGUAUGACUUGUGUUGACAUUUUUAACAGGAUAGUGUUAAUUCAAUUUCAGUCAUAGGUGGCAAUACAGACUCGAGCUCAUGAUUGUCUUUUUAACUUUCAUUUUGUGGUGUUAGAAAUAUGAAGCAGAUCUAUGUGGGGUUUCAUCCCAAGGUUUUAUUUUGCACUGAAAUUUGAGUUUAAGGAAGCGCCUCGCACAAAUGCCUCACAUUGAGAAACAGUCGCAAACAUUUACAGGGAUCAUGAUAUUAGAAUGCCUUACUUGUCCUAAGCUAUGAAUGGCUAAAUAAAAAUGUGCCAGUUAUUUUGUGUUGUGCCUUCAAUAAAUAUUGCCAUUAACAUCA